AGCUAUUUUUAUAUAGAACUGCCCACAAAAACGCCCACGCGUAACCUUUGACCGCACAAGGUAAAUCAAAGUAUUUUUUAUAUCUGUGCCAGCUAGCUAGCUCGAUUGCAGCAUAGUAAAACUAGUUCUCAGCAGCAGUAUGGCUUGUACUAGCAGUGUCAAAGGCAAAGGCAAACCAUCCAACAGUUGCAACUCCAAGAAGAUGAAACCUAGGUACAAUAAUCUGUCUUCCUGAGUCUCUGGUACUUCUUAACAAUGCGCCCAGCACUCAACUUCAUGCUCGAAGGGGUUGUCUUGGACCUGGCUGGACUAGGACUGGUCAUGACACUUCUCUAAAAUAAUACUGCACUGUUAGCUAGCUAGCUAGGCAGCUCUGAUGUACACGCCCAUAAUUAUAACUCCGUAAACAACACCGCCCACUUGUUCACGUCCGUAUACUGGAUUCUAUUUUUAGCAUAUCCGGUCUCUGAUACGAAGUCGGAUGAGUACGUAGGAUACACAGUUCGCCAUUCCAACUUUCCCAGCAGGACAAAACAUGGUAGCGUUAUCCCCGAACGGCUGGCUGCCAAAGAAGGCGAAAUUUUGUGAAUUCACAAUAAUUAUAAAGCACACGAUUUUCAGUGCAAAGACAACAAUUCAUAUCUUCUUCCAUAUGUUUUCCUAGAUCGAUGUAAAUUGUUGUGUAUAUGCUCCAGUGCAGUAUAUAGCAUCACUAUCUCAGC